CCGGCGAUUUCCGAAUGGGGAAACCCAGUGUGUUUCGACACACUAUCAUUAACUGAAUCCAUAGGUUAAUGAGGCGAACCGGGGGAACUGAAACAUCUAAGUACCCCGAGGAAAAGAAAUCAACCGAGAUUCCCCCAGUAGCGGCGAGCGAACGGGGAGGAGCCCAGAGCCUGAAUCAGUGUGUGUGUUAGUGGAAGCGUCUGGAAAGGCGCGCGAUACAGGGUGACAGCCCCGUACACAAAAAUGCACAUACUGUGAGCUCGAUGAGUAGGGCGGGACACGUGGUAUCCUGUCUGAAUAUGGGGGGACCAUCCUCCAAGGCUAAAUACUCCUGACUGACCGAUAGUGAACCAGUACCGUGAGGGAAAGGCGAAAAGAACCCCGGCGAGGGGAGUGAAAAAGAACCUGAAACCGUGUACGUACAAGCAGUGGGAGCCUCUUUUAUGGGGUGACUGCGUACCUUUUGUAUAAUGGGUCAGCGACUUAUAUUCUGUAGCAAGGUUAACCGAAUAGGGGAGCCGAAGGGAAACCGAGUCUUAACUGGGCGUUAAGUUGCAGGGUAUAGACCCGAAACCCGGUGAUCUAGCCAUGGGCAGGUUGAAGGUUGGGUAACACUAACUGGAGGACCGAACCGACUAAUGUUGAAAAAUUAGCGGAUGACUUGUGGCUGGGGGUGAAAGGCCAAUCAAACCGGGAGAUAGCUGGUUCUCCCCGAAAGCUAUUUAGGUAGCGCCUCGUGAAUUCAUCUCCGGGGGUAGAGCACUGUUUCGGCAAGGGGGUCAUCCCGACUUACCAACCCGAUGCAAACUGCGAAUACCGGAGAAUGUUAUCACGGGAGACACACGGCGGGUGCUAACGUCCGUCGUGAAGAGGGAAACAACCCAGACCGCCAGCUAAGGUCCCAAAGUCAUGGUUAAGUGGGAAACGAUGUGGGAAGGCCCAGACAGCCAGGAUGUUGGCUUAGAAGCAGCCAUCAUUUAAAGAAAGCGUAAUAGCUCACUGGUCGAGUCGGCCUGCGCGGAAGAUGUAACGGGGCUAAACCAUG
rnacentral:rRNA from 1 species